rfam:Medicago truncatula strain A17 chromosome 1, whole genome shotgun sequence.
UUAUAAGCAAAAUUAACUUUUUAGGUUCAUUCAAUUAAUGAUGUAUGUGGUUCAUAUUAUGGACCACGUACAUCAUUAAUUGAAUGAACCUAAAAAAAUCAAUUUUGCUCAUAA